rnacentral:rRNA from 1 species
UACGUAGGGUGCAAGCGUUAAUCGGAAUUACUGGGCGUAAAGGGUUCGUAGGUGGCCAACUAAGUCAGACGUGAAAUCCCUCGGCUUAACCGGGGAACUGCGUCUGAUACUGGAUGGCUUGAGUUUGGGAGAGGGACGCGGAAUUCCAGGUGUAGCGGUGAAAUGCGUAGAUAUCUGGAGGAACACCGGUGGCGAAGGCGGCGUCCUGGACCAAUACUGACACUGAGUGAGCGAAAGCCAGGGGAGCAAACGGG